UGUGCGGAAGGGAUAAGUGCUGAAAGCAUCUAAGCAUGAAGCCCCCCUCAAGAUGAGAUUUCCCACAGUUUAACUGGUAAGAUCCCUGAAAGAUGAUCAGGUUGAUAGGUCCGGGGUGGAAGCGCGGUGACGCGUGCAGCUGACGGAUACUAAUCGAUCGAGGACUUAACCAA
rnacentral:rRNA from 1 species